rnacentral:rRNA from 1 species
GAUGAACGCUGACAGAAUGCUUAACACAUGCAAGUCAACUUGAAUUUGGGUUUUUAACUUAGGUUUGGGUGGCGGACGGGUGAGUAACGCGUAAAGAACUUGCCUCACAGCUAGGGACAACAUUUGGAAACGAAUGCUAAUACCUAAUAUUAUGAUAAUAGGGCAUCCUAUAAUUAUGAAAGCUAUAAGCGCUGUGAGAGAGCUUUGCGUCCCAUUAGCUAGUUGGAGAGGUAACGGCUCACCAAGGCGAUGAUGGGUAGCCGGCCUGAGAGGGUGAUCGGCCACAAGGGGACUGAGACACGGCCCUUACUCCUACGGGAGGCAGCAGUGGGGAAUAUUGGACAAUGGACCGAGAGUCUGAUCCAGCAAUUCUGUGUGCACGAUGAAGUUUUUCGGAAUGUAAAGUGCUUUCAGUUGGGAAGAAACGAAUGACGGUGCCAACAGAAGAAGUGACGGCUAAAUACGUG